UGGUUGGACCUCCAGGAGGGAAGGUAGAUUUCCUAAGUAUUUCCGGACAAGAGUCUGAUCACUGGAAUGAAGAUCCUCCCACCAGCUUAGCAACCUUGGGUGGAUGUUUGUGACCAUGCCGAAUUUGGGGACUUCGUGCCUCAUGUUUCUGCAAGACAAAAGGGUUAGGCCCUUACCCCCACUAGACUCGAUUAUUAAAUACCAAUAAUUGGCGUAAAAGCAUUUAGUUCUCCAAAUAAAUUCACAAAAUGUGAUAGUGUCCGUUUGGGUUUUUGGGAAACCCAGUGGACUUUGGACAAGGCUAUCUUAAAGAGUCAUUAUGCGGACAACAUAACUGACUCGGCUAGGUUUGACCAUGAUGCAUGCACAGUUUAAAUAGAGUAAGGUUUCUAUGGGGUUUUAGACCGGUACCCUUGAGCGGAUAACUCAAGAGGGAAAGACACAGAACCAUCAACUACACCGUUGAUCGACUGGUUUUAACGCAAAUAUGCCUUUGCCGGAUUUAAAAGGUGAUAAUAUCGGAAGAGCUCAACCACUCAUUAUAAGCGUUGCUAUGGUAUUUGUUUGGCACGAGUGGAAUAUGAUGUUGGAAACAUGCAUAUGCAAUAAUUAAAACAAGUUGUCACGUAUUUGCACGUUCAUAUAUAAUAAUUACAAUAAUUUAAAACAGUAAUAAAGGAGUGCAAUAAAGGAGAGCAGUGAAAGAAACAAGGGAAAGAGGCAAGAAACAAGUUAGUUUUUUGCAGUAGAAGAGGGAAUUAAAUGCUUAAAGGUAUUAAACAAAUAAGGCACAUAAGAAAUGUAAAGUCACGGUAAUAGGUUGAAAUGGUAGAAGCCUAAAAGAUAUCCCCAGCAGAGUUGCCACACUGUCACACCCUCUUUUUCUCGCGAAAUUGGGUUUAUGACAUUUGGGAGACAACUCGUUCCCGUUCGUGAAUUGGGUUUUGAAUUGAAGAGUCGUCACCUAAUGAUUAAAAGUGCAUUAGGACACUAGGAGGGGUUUGUUUUGAGUAACCAGAGAUUGGGUAAGGGCUUGAAAUUAUCCCAAGGGGAAGGUGUUAGGUACCUUUCAGGAUCCACUAGUGUGGUUCCCGACCAAACUAUUGUUGUGACUUAAGUGCAAAUAACACAUAGGCAAAUAAAUGCUUCAAAUAAGAGGGGAUUUUCACGUAAUGGUUACAAAUAAACAAAAGUAAGAAAAAAGAACUAAAAAGAGUUGAUUUUCUUAAAAGAAUUGGUUUAAAAAGAUUUAAAAGAAAUAAAGAAAACAAAGGGAAGGGGGGUCCUAGGUUUAUUAAUAAUAUGGAUCACCCCACACAACAUCCGGUAAUCACUCCUCAGUGAGGGGAUACACGUGAUGUUAUCGCAUGGUCAUCAUAUCCAUAUCUACCCUUUCCCUCCCUGUUAAGGUAUUAAAGCGCGUAAUGGUCUCGUUUACUUAUUGCAUGCUAUUACCCGCCCCAAUCCUAUCAGUCCCCGAGGCAUUUUGGACUACUAAUCCUAAAGGGAGGAAGUAUUGGGCUUAUUUGUGGUUUCAAAAGGUAAAAUACUAAGGCGACAAACAAAACACAUAUAGCAAGUUUGGGGAAAGCAUAUAAACAAAUAAAAGGGCUCAAACAGACCUUCUUUAAACCAAAGAAAGCACAUAAUGUAGCAUGACUUGCAUGUACUAUUUAAGGUCUGAUUAAAACUUAAAGGGUCGAGGCAGACUGAUUUAUUAUAUUGUUCAGAUAAGAAGCUCGAAUCAGGCCUGCCUGCUGGUUGUAGUAUACAAAAUCUGAUUCAGUUUAUAAACUUUUACCCUAUGGCUUUCCUAGGUGUUAGACGAAGACCCUAUAGGCAUUAUAUCUACCGAUUCCAGAAACAAUGAAGUAAACAUGAAUACAUACUGGUUUAAAAAAAAUCGUUUGUUAUUAAAGAAUGGCGAGUUUUAGAAAAAGAGCACAAGUUAUUUGUGACUGGUUUUAAACUUAUAAGCAAAUGAAACGGUUCAGAUUCGAUUGAAGCUCCUAUAGGCAUGCUUUCUAUGUGUUGUCGAUUUUGGACACUUUUACAAACACAUCGAGAGUGCAGAAAUCCUAUAGGCAUGACAUCUAAAUGUUGUACUUUGUUUAAGCCUAUAAACAUGAUAUCUAGAUGCAGUUAGUUAUUUAAGCCUAUAAACAGGUUUGCCUAGUGACAGAUGCGUAUGCAGGAUUCGGAUUUCCAGUUAACUACGAGCAUGGUAUCUAUAUAAGAGAUGCAGAAAUUUAACUAUAGGUAGGAUAUCCAUAUGAAUGCAGAAUUUCAAAAAACUAUAGGCAGGAUAUCUAUAUGGGUGUAGAAUUCCUUAUAGGCAUAGUAUCUACAUAUGAAAGUGCAGAAUUCCUAUAGGCAGGAUAUCUAUGUGAUAUGCAGAGAUCAGAAAUUCCCUAUGAGCAGGAUAUCUACCCUUUUUACAUACAAAGUUAUUCCCCCUUUUCACUGACCAUCCCCGAGAGUUUUAUUACAAAAUUAUUACAACCAAGAAAAAAGUAAAGUAAAGGAAAAAUACAUCAGAAAUUAAAAAGUACAACCAAGGACAGCGUGAUUCAGACUUCCUGUCUGAAGUAUGAAGUAAAUCAACUCCAAGAGAUCAUAUUUCAAAGCCUUUCUCCUAUAUGGGGUGUGUUAGAGUUCCCUAAGAGUCUCAUAUAAACUCCGGGCAGUGCUUACACCCAAAUGUAUCGCCAUAUUAAGCCAAGGUGCAGUGUAGAAGGGCCAAUCCUCAGGUGUCCAAGUUCAUAGGGAACUCAAGGUCCCAAGGCAAGGCUCAUAAGAGGGGGGCAGAACUUAGGAACUAAGAGAGAGUGCAAGUACAGAAUUCUAAAAUGGGGAAAGGGGAAGGGAAACAGUACACAUAGGGAUAUAGGGAAUGGGGAGUUGCAAGAGGUAAAAAGCAGGUUAGUGGGCAUAACCCAACAAUGGGAGAUGCUGGCACACCCAUAAUCCUACUGGAACACAUUGUUUAGAGGUUAGGAUUGUCACACCUCCUUUUUUACUACACCUCGUAAAGGGUAUAAAUUCAAGGGAGUUUUUCCAAUUAAAGGACAGUAGAAAUGAGAUUAUUUAUUUAAGAUUCAGAGUCACCACUUGGAAGAUUUAUGGUGUCCCAAGUCACCAGUUGAAUCCCGAAUCGAGGAAAAUAUGACUCUGUAAUGCAGUCCGCGAACUAGAAAUUCGAGUAAGGAAUUCUGUUAAUCUAGGAGAAGGUGUUAGGCAUUCCCGAGUUCCGUGGUUCUAGCACGGUCACUUUGAUCAUACUUGGCUUAUUAAAAUUAUUUAAUUACUGAUUUUAGAUCCUAUGUGCAUUUGCCUCUUUUAAUUAAGAAAUUAUCUUGAAAUGGGUCACGCUUACGUGUACCCGUUUGUUUGGAGCGUGAAAAAUCAUGUCACGCAAACGUGUCCACAAUUAAUAACGCUUUAUUAUUAUUAAGAAAAAUCUAGCCAAAGUUGCGCGAACGCAUAUUCCAGUUUUGUUUUUAGAAAUCGCAGUCAUGUCACGCGAAUGUGUCCACAACCACGAUAGUAUUUUAAACGCGCCUAAAGGCUUUUCUACAAGUGUUCAUUUCCAACAACUAAUUAUUAAUUUUGUGAGGGCCACAGGUGAUAUAAUUAAUUGGCACAACAUAAAAGAAACCGUACAAGUUUAGUGGCGCUUUGGGAAAUUAAGACCCAAUUGAUAAAGCCCUUGAAUUUCUCAACCCUUUCCUUUCUUAAUAAAAAAAUAUAUUGGCUGUGACAAAAUCUGGCUAUUUCUUUUCAAAAUUAAGCAUCUCAAUUAACUUAUCAAAGUCAACAAAUGCCUAAUGUAUUACUUAGGACAACUAAAUAAUCGAAUUUUAUAUGUACGACAGACCAAAUUCAUACGAUGGAUCUUAAAUUGAAGUAAUUAGAAUUUGUUUACUAAGCCCGAUAUUAUCAUUACAAGGGUAGAAAAGAUUACCUAAUACAUUAAGCUGCAUUCGAUGAACAAUGAGUCACAAAGCCGAUUGAUCCGUUGUGAAUACAAUCGAUUAAGAUCAAAAUGCAAGUAAGGCAUAGUAAUCCACAUAUAAUUCCAUCUUUUAGACAAUAAACUCAACUGAACCUCAGAUAUUUGAUAUGCCGAAAGGGGUAAAAAAUAAUUACCUUACCAACAAACUCAUAUUUGUACCCAAAUAAAGUGUUAGAUGAAAACUCAACAAAGGAAAUCAAAUCAAGAGAAUCUAAAAAACAACAACGGAACAGUAGAACAAUUAUGAAUCGUUCUAAAUCAUCAAAAAUUUAUAACAGAGUCAAACAUACACGUUCCAGACAAACAAUGAAAAUAAAACUAAGAUUGCUAAAAUGUUGGUUGAAAUGAGAAAGAGAACAAACCCUUUUGCUGAAUAUCUUUUCAAAUGUGAGAUUCGAAUUGAUUCGACCACAACGAGCUACUAACUGAACUAUGAACCUGCGACCUCGACAUAUUGAACCUCGGCGACUCAAACGGAACCUCCGAUCGAGACCUCAAAACUUGCUGGAACCGCGACAAAAUGCAACAACAACAGUGACUGCUUGUGUGUGUCGCUAUUUAGGAUUUAAAAGUGGUCUUCAACAUUUUUGAUUUUGUUGAGUAAGAAGGUAAAUGAUCAGGGGGUGGGCGUUGGCUUCUCCGGCGAGUUUGAGGUGGUGUGGGUCUGGUUCAGUGGUUUCGGUUGGGGGGAAGACGAUGAUCUUCAGGGGUGGGGGUCGNNNNN
rnacentral:lncRNA from 1 species